AGAGUUUGAUCAUGGCUCAGGAUGAACGCUGGCGGCGUGCUUAACACAUGCAAGUCGAACGAAGUCCAUGGAGCUUGCUCCAGAAGACUUAGUGGCGAACGGGUGCGUAACACGUGAGAAACCUGCCCUGGACUUUGGGAUAACAGUUGGAAACGACUGCUAAUACCGAAUACCACCAUUUCCUCGCAUGGGGAGAUGAUGAAAGGUCCGCCGGUCCAGGAGGGUCUCACGGCCUAUCAGCUUGUUGGAGAGGUAACGGCUCACCAAGGCAUCGACGGGUAGCUGGUCUGAGAGGAUGAUCAGCCACACUGGGACUGAGACACGGCCCAGACUCCUACGGGAGGCAGCAGUGGGGAAUCUUGCACAAUGGGCGCAAGCCUGAUGCAGCAACGCCGCGUGCGGGAAGAAGGCCCUAGGGUUGUAAACCGCUUUCAGUAGGGAAGAAAAUGACGGUACCUACAGAAGAAGGUGCGGCCAACUACGUGCCAGCAGCCGCGGUAACACGUAGGCACCAAGCGUUAUCCGGAUUUAUUGGGCGUAAAGAGCUCGUAGGCGGUUCAGUCAGUCGGGUGUGAAAACUUGAGGCUUAACCUCAAGAGGUCACUCGAUACUACUGUGACUAGAGUGCGGUAGGGGAGCGGGGAAUUCCUGGUGUAGCGGUGAAAUGCGCGAUAUCAGGAGGAACACCAGUGGCGAAGGCGCCGCUCUGGGCCGUAACUGACGCUGAGGAGCGAAAGCAUGGGUAGCAAACAGGAUUAGAUACCCUAGUAGUCC
rnacentral:rRNA from 1 species